ensembl:lncRNA
GGGUUUCUCGCAUGAGGUCAUAUUUGAGCGUUCAAUGCAUCUAGAAGAUUAAAACCCCCUUCAGGGAUAUUUUGUGUGAAAACUUAAAACAAUUUCAUGUCUGGUUAAAGAUGUUUCUCUCAGUCCUGUGUUACUUGAAUUUGCUCAAUUAAAUUCUACAAGUAAUUAAAACAUGUUUUAUGCCCUGUAGACAAUUUCUACAUCUAAAGUCCCAGAGGAACGCUUGUCCUUGUCUGCUGGACGCUGGAGAAACACAACCCAACACAAUACAAUGCCGCCCCCUUCCGGACCACAAUAAUCCCACCGCGCUUUUGAAUUCUGAUCUAUGGCUGCCCUUCGUAGAAACAGCUGGGUCUAGCACAGACACCAAACGCUGCUGGGGUCGUUAUUCGAGCCUUUUAGCUGCAUAUGAAUCCGGCCAGAUCGAGUUCAUUAGGCGCCAGGAGAGUGUCUAUUCAGGUGAAAAUGAAUGAAGGGACCAGGUGAAGAGAGAUUUUUACAGUAAGUAUCAAUCUCCCAGUCACCCGCAGCUGUCUGUGACGACUGAUUUUGCAUGCUGCCCUCAACUCUCUAUAAAUGGGAAAUGGUGGCUUGAUAAUGCAUUGUCAAGCCAUCAUCAUCCACCUUUUUCUUCAACGCGGAAGUAAGCCUAUGAGUGAGACUUCCGGUUCAUUAGCCGCUAUAGGUGAAUAACAACGUGCAGUAAACGAUAAAUCUAUUUGCAAUACAAACCAGUGUGCUAAUAAGAUAAUACAUUAAAAUAAUAUGAUAAGACACACCCACUUUCAAUAUCAAGCAGCAAAACGAGCUGUUUUGUUCAGCUAAAAAUAGCUGGAUGGAGUAGACGCAGAUGAAACCGGAAGCCAGACCCAUAGAAUUUACAAAUGGCCACGCCCAUUUUUAUAACCAGAAAAAGGUGGAUAGGCGUUUUGGGACAGUGAAACUGAUAUUUUUUGAAACCGGGUCCCAGAGUGGAUAAAUUUGAAAAUGCCGCCCUUGCAUUUUCGUGUGGACAGCGAAUCUGUAUAAUUUGUGAAACGAUGAUGUCAUCAGCCCACGUCUCACCCCUAGUCAGACACCGCUACAUCACGUAACAGCAACUAAAACAUUUUAUUAACUAACAUUAACACAGAUUAAUAAAUUAUAUUGGUCCAUGUUCGUUUGUAUACCG